GACGAACGCUGGCGGCGUGCCUGAUACAUGCAAGUAGAACGCUGAAGCGAGGAGCUUGCUCUUCUUGGAUGAGUUGCGAACGGGUGAGUAACGCGUAGGUAACCUGCCUGGUAGCGGGGGAUAACUAUUGGAAACGAUAGCUAAUACCGCAUAACAACAGUUGUUGCAUGACAGCUGUUUAAAAGAUGCAAUUGCAUCACUACCAGAUGGACCUGCGUUGUAUUAGCUAGUUGGUGAGGUAACGGCUCACCAAGGCGACGAUACAUAGCCGACCUGAGAGGGUGAUCGGCCACACUGGGACUGAGACACGGCCCAGACUCCUACGGGAGGCAGCAGUAGGGAAUCUUCGGCAAUGGGGGGAACCCUGACCGAGCAACGCCGCGUGAGUGAAGAAGGGUUUCGGAUCGUAAAGCUCUGUUGUAAGAGAAGAACGGGUGUGAGAGUGGAAAGUUCACACUGUGACGGUAGCUUACCAGAAAGGGACGGCUAACUACGUG
rnacentral:rRNA from 1 species